rnacentral:rRNA from 1 species
AACGAACGCUGGCGGCAGGCCUAACACAUGCAAGUCGAGCGAGGACUUCGGUCCUAGCGGCGGACGGGUGAGUAACGCGUGGGAACGUGCCCUUUGCUUCGGAAUAGCUCUGGGAAACUGGGAGUAAUGCCGGAUGAGCCCUUUGGGGGAAAGAUUUAUCGGCGAAGGAUCGGCCCGCGUUGGAUUAGGUAGUUGGUGGGGUAAUGGCCUACCAAGCCGACGAUCCAUAGCUGGUUUGAGAGGAUGAUCAGCCACACUGGGACUGAGACACGGCCCAGACUCCUACGGGAGGCAGCAGUGGGGAAUCUUAGACAAUGGGGGAAACCCUGAUCUAGCCAUGCCGCGUGAGCGAUGAAGGCCUUAGGGUUGUAAAGCUCUUUCAGCUGGGAAGAUAAUGACGGUACCAGCAGAAGAAGCCCCGGCUAACUCCGUG